CUGAUAGCUGGGGGAGAGAGAGAAGGCCUCUGUCCACAGAAUAGAGACCACAUGCUGGGCAGAGGGGCAGGCUUCCCCACAUUGUCUCUCCAAAGUGCCUCAGCCCUGAUGUGGAGGGGAAGCACAUUCUCUUUGAGUUGUACAUUCAGCCCUUUGUCUUGU
rnacentral:sRNA from 1 species